rnacentral:rRNA from 1 species
UACGUAGGGCGCGAGCGUUAUCCGGAAUUAUUGGGCGUAAAGAGCUCGUAGGCGGUUUGUCGCGUCUGCCGUGAAAGUCCGGGGCUCAACUCCGGAUCUGCGGUGGGUACGGGCAGACUAGAGUGAUGUAGGGGAGACUGGAAUUCCUGGUGUAGCGGUGAAAUGCGCAGAUAUCAGGAGGAACACCGGUGGCGAAGGCGGUUCUCUGGGCAUGAUCUGACGCUGAGGAGCGAAAGUGUGGGGAGCGAACAGG